AGUGAACGCUGGCGGCGUGCUUAACACAUGCAAGUCGAACGAGAACGGAUUAUAGCUUGCUAUAAUUGUCAGCUAAGUGGCGCACGGGUGAGUAAUGUAUAGGUAAUAUGCCUCUUACUAAGGGAUAACAAAUGGAAACGUUUGCUAAUACCUUAUACUCCUUAUUAAUAGAAGUUAUUAAGGGAAAGAUUUAUUGGUAAGAGAUUAGCCUGUAUUGUAUCAGUUAGUUGGCGGGGUAAUGGCUUACCAAGACUAUGACACAUAACUGGUUUGAGAGGCUGAUCAGUCACGAUGGGACUGAGACAAGUUCCAGACUCCUACGGCAGGCAGCAGUGGGGAAUAUUGCACAAUGGACGAAAGUCUGAUGCAGCCACGCCGCGUGGAGAAUGACACAUUUCGGUGCGUAAACUCCUUUUAUAUGAGAAGAUAAUGACGGUAUUAUAUGAAUAAGCACCGGCUAACUCCGUGCCAGCCGCCGCAGUAA
rnacentral:rRNA from 1 species